ACACCCUGCCCAAAUUAUGUCAGCGCGUUUGAGAAGGCUAGGAGUUAUGCCGACAACCCGGCUGAGAAUGUGAUCACACCAGUGAUUGACACUACUUUUGACUCUUUGUGUGAGGCUUAUGACCUCUGUAAUUUGUAUUCAUGGGAGAAAGGCUUCGUCAUCCUAUAUGGGAAGAGCCGGCUGAAUCUCGAGAGGACACCCAGGUCUAUCUCGCGCACUACUGGAGGUACUGCAAUGGCCUGUACCUUGAGAGGCACAUUGGUGAGGUGA
rnacentral:rRNA from 1 species